GGGGGAAGUACUUCUGUUCUGUUUGGCCAAUGAAACAGCAAGUUAGAUAGGACUAGGAAUCAAAGAGGAUUCUGGGAAAUGUAGUAGAGAAGUGGUGAUCCAGGCUGGAAGUGACAUAGCAAGGAGACUCAUAUUUGAGCAAGGAGAAGUAGGAAGUGCCGCCCCACCUUCUCCAGUGGCAGGAUGUGAGCCACCAGCAAGGAGGUACUCCAAUAAGGCAUCCAAUAAGUUUGGAAGAGUGGGCACACCGGCGAAGAAACCACCGAAGACUGUAUUUCCAUCCCAGCAGUGAUGAUGGUGACAGGAAUCUGCUCGUAUCACACUCACAAGCUGAUGCAGAUAGCUGUGGAAUAUGUGUGUUAUGUCCAGUGGCUCUUCUGUGUAGCAACACAAUGGACUUCAUGCAAAACUUACAAGGGAAUCAGAAUGUGCCAGCAACUGUGGGGAUAAGUGACAUCGCACUUAUGGGACCCUGUUGUGGGUCCCAUAACCCAGGAAAAAAGUCAGGUUUGAAGACUAAGACACUCUGAAAAGCUGUCUUCCUACCACAGCAGAAAGAAGAAAGAACCCUUUUCUGAUUUUUACCAGGCACUGUAAAUGAACCAUCGGCAAGAGAAUAGGAGAGAAAGAACAUUAAAAGCAGACCAGGUGAAUGAGUUUGGAAUGGAAGACAGAAAAGCUUGCAAUCAUUGCUCAAACAAGUUCUUCCUUCCUUCCAAGAAAUGAGUAUUUCGCUGAAGACUAGCUGACAUACCCAGCCUCAUGGACUGAACAACUUCUUAAUUCUUGGACCUUACAUUCAUAGCCAUAGCCAUUGUAGGAUCGGAUGGACCACAGCCUAUAAAUUCCCAUAUAUAUGUAUAUAUAUAUAUAUAUAUAUAUAUAUAUAUAUAUAUGAAUGAAAUAAUUCUAUAAGUUCUGUCACUCUAGAGAACUCUGACUAAAACUGAUUUUGGGACAACAAAAGAAGUAUAAGGAUAAAUGUUUAAGUAUUUCAAACAGGAUUUCGAACAACUAUAGUUACAGAAGCCUCUCCAGAUACUGAAGCCUCUCCUGGAAACUCGGAGAGUACUGGAAGCCCAUGGUGUGAACUAUUUUACAAACUACAGGAGAUAAAUGCAUUUGAUUAUCCUGAUUCACAAAUUGUGAUUGGCAAUGAUUUGGUGGCACUAUAUAUAAAGCUUUUGACCAUUUGUAGGAAAACAAAGGAAAUGAAUGAGUUUCCUAAUAAAACGAAUCAGCUUCUAGCAUCACAGCGAAUGGCAACGAUGAACUCAGUGAUGAAAUUGACUGACUGCAUCCAGGUGCACAUAAAUGGUCUAAAGUUUUCUAAGUGUGCCCUGGAAGAUAAUCUUCUCUCCAGCAGCCACAGAGCUGCAGGACAGAAAAUGAAACCAAAAUCUUCAGUGUUGUUUCCAUGUUCUGGAUGAAGAUGAAUCAGUCUGCUGUAAUUUGGACAGCCCAUCUGGACCUUGCAGAAGACUAGAGCACUGCAGAAAGUGAGUGUCCAAACACUAUGAAGUAAUUUAUCAAAACUGCUGAAGACCUUUCAUCCAUCCAAGUUCUUAAAGGACCUUGUAAGCAUUCAAGAUGUCGCUGGUCACCUCUGGGCCCCGGUGUCCUAGGAUGUGUGGUGGAUGUUUCUGGCAGAGCUGCACUUGCAUUUGAAGAGUCUUAGAAGCUGGGCCUGCUGGGCAAAUGGCCAAAAGAUGGUAUCUUUAUAACAUCUGCCGUCAUCUUUGCUGUGUGGGAACUAAUGGCUGCGCUUGAAUAAUUAGGUCUUUGCACCAUAGCACAACAAAAGCAGGUAUUGCUCCAUUAAAGCCAGCAUAAUUACUGCAACUCACUUACUUAAAGCUCCUUUCAUCCCCCCCAGAAACUGCAGUAUUUGGGAAGUCUGCACUCCAGUGUCUCUGGCCCUGCCUACUUGGGGUCAGGCCCCUCUCCAGAGUUUUCUCUCUGGUAUCUGAGUCAGCCCUUGGGUUACACAGCAUCUAUUUGGUCAUGUGUGAAAUCUGCUCCUUCUAACAAAUUGUAAGCCCAGACUUUGCCUCUCGUGUAUAGACUCUGGAGCUAAGGUCUUCUGACCUCUCUGGACCUAGGACCACUCAUUUGUUAGUCACCACAUCUGUUCCAUCUUCCUCCAGGCUGACUGUAAAGAUCAGAUGAAGUCAUGGAUAUAAAAGUAAUCUGCAAAGUAUUAAAAUGCCACACAAAUCAUAAAAACCCUGCAGUUACCUGGGGUGAGGCAUGGGUACUCUAACCUUGUCAACUUUGUGCUCACAGUGAAGCCUUGUAACCACUACAUUUUAGGAAAUGAGAUUGCAUAGUGACCAAGAUAAUCCUACAAAAUAACUGUCCUGUCUUAUUAGAAAUUCUGGCUCUCAGAAUUAAACUAUUUAUAUUUAUGUAUUAUUAUUAUUAUUAUUAUUAUUAUUAUUAUUAUUAUUAUUGUGAAAUGGUGCAUUUCCUGUAUAACAAGUAAACAAUGAGUUUUUUUUUUCUAAGCACUGUGACAACAUUUUUGGACCACAGACUGCAUGGUAUUAAUCAUACUGAGGUAGUCAGUGCCUAUACCUGCACUGACAUUGGUGCAUAUAAUCUUUCCAAUUCCUUAAGAUCUGGGGAAAUUAUGCACAUUUGUGGUAAAGACACAGAAGGCCCAGGAUUCAAAGAGGAAAGGAGGGAAUUAUUACAUUACUCCUUCUCAAAUUCAAGCCAAGCAUUGAAGAACUGUCAUAGAAGAGAUGGAGCACAUCUUCAAGGGUGGAAGGAGUAGGUCUAUACAGGAAAAACGAAUGCAUUAAAAAUUAUAAUGAGAGGACUUAUGUGGGCCAUAUUUUGGAAUGUGCCUAGAGAUGCACAGCCCUUGACUGCUUCUCUAGGCGUCAGUGUCUUCUGCUGAGUCUGAG
rnacentral:lncRNA from 1 species